rfam:Rattus norvegicus chromosome 7, whole genome shotgun sequence.
GGGGAUUUAGCUCAGUGGUAGAGCGCUUGCCUAGCAAGCACAAGGCCCUGGGUUCUCAGUCCCCA